AUCCUGCGCUGUUCGAUUUGUUGUAACCGUUUAUAAUCCUACAAGUUAAUGAAAAGGGAGCUCUGGUUAUCCGGCAGGCCUGCAGACCUCCCCGCCUCGGCGGGAAGAAGGGAGCGCGAAACCGGCGCCGGGCACCCACCUGUCUUCGCGACGGGUUUUAACAUGGUUGCAGACGGCAGUGCGGGACUU
rnacentral:other from 1 species